UGAUACAGGAAAUGGACACCUUCCCUAUAAAUAUGAUCAGUUUAUGUUACUCUUCCCUAAACCAGUUCAAUCGUGUUAACUUUGCAAACAAUAGUACACACCACACAGUGGAUCUUCAAAGACAGAAGAGAGAUGAUAUAGCAACAAAAUAAUAUAUUCCUUCAACCUUUGUUUCUUAUUCGCGUGCCUUUCAUUUGGGAGUAAGGGAAAGAAGAGAACUAACUAGCUAGCUACUAAUUUACAUGCAACUAAUUUUAAGCUUGAACGGCUGGUUAAGAAUUCGGUAUCCUGACGUGGUAAUAAGCAAAAGGUUCGAACUCAAAGGGUGAAAACCAACAAUAUAUGAUUGAAAAGACUUUAAACUGAAAUUAGGUAGGGACUGCGCGAACGCAAGUCACCGCUGCCACAAAUUAUGACGUAGGCUCUCCUACUUGAGGAGACCUUAGACGGGCACCCCUCCUAAGUGCAAUGGAGGUCACCAACCUAAGCCAUGGGCCUUCUUGAUCACCCAUUGACCCCGUCCAGCUGAUGUGAGACUAUCUAGCUUCUCAAGGGUUUUUAUGUUCCUUCUAUCUCUAUGAACCUGUGGUUUCUCCCUUUGGAUUACGGUAUCUCUUUCACUGAACAAAUGGUGAGGCUAAUUCUUUUCUUCUCAAAACAUAAGGUUUUUGGCAGAUCAAAGUACGUACCUGUAGUUGGAGUGUUAGACAUGUAUGAGAAUUUUGAAGCUAGGAAACUGGGAAAGGUGCUGCUUCAUUUUCUUAUUAACAAUAUUGUUUAUCGCAAGAAAACACAUGGGAAGUGAGUUAAGAACAAAGAUUCAGAACAAGCCUCAGAUAUUUAUCAAAAGUAAGCCUCCUGCCAAAAACAUAAAUAAAUAAAUAAAUGAAAGGAGGUAGCAGAAUCAAACUUCGUAAAGGAAGAUAUCGUCUUCCUCCGGUGUUUAAAUUUUAAUAAUAAUUGCGUUCACUCUUUCACUUCAAGUGUUCCAUAAACUAUUAAACUAUGUUGAUUUUUGUUGAAUACUAUUACAUGCUGAUGCUGGUUGAGGCUUUGGGACUGGUUCAAAUCGAUUUGGAACAUUUCCCCAGUCAAGAUGAUUUUCCAUAGAGACUCUGGAUGUUAAGUCAGGCGUGAUGCUUCCAUGUGUUGAAGUUUGAAUCUUCCAACUUCUCAGCAAUAGGAAGUAAAGUUUGUUUGGUAGAAGAUGAGGUUGAGAGAAUGAAGGCUACGGUCAAGAUCUUGAUUCUUUGGCUCUGAUAGCAUAAGAUGUUUUGAGCAAAAUCAGAGAAAAGUAAAGAAUUGAGACUGAAUAUCAAUUGCACUCUAUGCAGAGAAUGAAUAAUGUGAACACAAGGCCAAGUACCUCUGCAUUAUAUAGAUGCAGAGCCAUGCAUACUACUAAUAUGUGACUGCAGUAAUGACCUCAACAAACACUUCUUGAUCUUGAUUUUCUAACUACUGCUACCCUACUUCACUUAUAUUUAUAUCACUUACACAAAUGAAUCAACAUCCAUCACUACUGUAAUUUGUGCUUGUGUGACAUUUCAAUUCACCUUGACCUUAUACUUUAUAGAUGGUAUGUGGAUUCCUUCCUAACUAUGACGGAUUAACUACGAGUGAUUGCAUCGUUGAAGCUCCUUGGGUUGCAAAGAAUCCAAUACACAGUUAGUCUUGUAAAAUUAUUCACUUAUUCUAUGUAUAUGGCUGCACAUCUAACAUUAUGAAUACAUUGCCCAAUACCAGACUUGUUUAUUCCUGUUACCUCCA